UCUCUCCCUUGAUGUUUUGCACUGGGCUCUGAGUUUCUGCUGACAGAAGUGCGUCUCUGCUCCUGACAAGGCAGAGUUUCUGAGGAGAUG